rnacentral:rRNA from 1 species
AAACUUUCAACGACGGAUCUCUUGGUUCUGGCAUCGAUGAAGAACGCAGCGAAAUGCGAUAAGUAAUGUGAAUUGCAGAAUUCAGUGAAUCAUCGAAUCUUUGAACGCACAUUGCGCCCUGUGGUAUUCCGCAGGGCAUGCCUGUUCGAGCGUCAUU